GUGCUCUGGUUUCUCUUCAAGUUGCAUAAAUCUUUUGCCUUUUACUAAAGAUUUCCAUGGAGAAGAACAGCUAUCUCAUGAUAGCAAAAGGUAUAUUUAAAAUGUCUAUAUCUUUCUGAACU
rfam:Alligator mississippiensis ScZkoYb_25, whole genome shotgun sequence.